rnacentral:rRNA from 1 species
GACGAACGCUGGCGGCGUGCUUAACACAUGCAAGUCGAGCGAUGAAUUUUCUUCGGAAAUGGAUUAGCGGCGAACGGGUGAGGAACACGUGAAGAAUCUGCCCUCCACUUUGGGAUAACACAGGGAAACCUGUGCUAAUACCGAAUAUUGAAACAUAAGUGGCAUCACUGAGUUUUGAAAGAAUUUCGGUGGAGGAUGACUUCGCGGCCUAUCAGCUAGUUGGUGAGGUAAUGGCUCACCAAGGCAACGACGGGUAGCGGGCCUGAGGGGGCGACCGGCCACACUGGGACUGAGACACGGCCCAGACUCCUACGGGAGGCAGCAGUGGGGAAUAUUGGGCAAUGGAGGAAACUCUGACCCAGCGACGCCGCGUGCGGGAUGAAGGCCUUCGGGUUGUAAACCGCUUUCAGUAGGGAAGAAGCGAAAGUGACGGUACCUACAAAAGAAGCACCGGCUAACUAUGUGCCAGCAGCCGCCGUAA